rnacentral:rRNA from 1 species
GACGAACGCUGGCGGCGUGCUUAACACAUGCAAGUCGAACGGAAAGGCCCUGCUUUUGUGGGGUGCUCGAGUGGCGAACGGGUGAGUAACACGUGAGUAACCUGCCCUUGACUUUGGGAUAACUUCAGGAAACUGGGGCUAAUACCGGAUAGGAGCUCCUGCUGCACGGUGGGGGUUGGAAAGAUUCGGCGGUUUGGGAUGGACUCGCGGCUUAUCAGCUUGAUUGUGGGGUAGUGGCUGACAAAGGCUUUGACGGGUAGCCGGCCUGAGAGGGUGACCGGCCUCCUUGCGCCUACGGUACGGCGCAGACUCCUACGGUAGGCAGCGGUGGGGAAUAUUGCGCAAUGGGCGGAAGCCUGAUGCAGCAACGCCGCGUGCGUAAUGACGGCCUUCGGGUUGUAAACCGAUUUCGCCUGUGCCGAAGCGUGAGUGACGGUAAUGGGUAAGGAAGCACCGGCUAACUACGUG